rnacentral:rRNA from 1 species
UACGGAGGGUGCAAGCGUUGUUCGGAAUCACUGGGCGUAAAGGGCGUGUAGGCGGUCUAUCAAGUCUGGUGUGAAAUCCCCUCGCUCAACGAGGGAACUGCGCCGGAAACUGGUAGACUAGAGUACCGGAGAGGAAGGUGGAAUUCCCGGUGUAGCGGUGAAAUGCGUAGAGAUCGGGAGGAACACCAGAGGCGAAGGCGGCGACCUGGACAAGUACUGACACUCAACUACGAAAGCGUGGGGAGCAAACAGG